AGUAUGGUCAGCUAAUCAAGCUAUCGGGCCCAUACCCCGAAAAUGUUGGUCAUAUCCUUCCCGUACUA
rnacentral:tRNA from 1 species